rnacentral:sRNA from 1 species
GCCGGGCGUGGCGGUGCACGCUUGUAAUCCCAGCAGCUCAGAGACUCAGGCAGGAGGAUCACAGGUUCAGAGCCAGCCUCAGCAAUGUAGUGAGGCUGUAAACAACCUAGUGAGACCUUGUCUCAA